ensembl:lncRNA PVT1 Pvt1 oncogene
GAGUCACAGUGCAGCCCUGGACUGGACAGUGAGUGCCUUGUGGGACCCUCCUGGGCUUUCCUGUCCCUCAGAGCAUUUAAAGGGGUCCCAAAUUGUCAUGUGACCCUCUCUGAUGCCAGAGAGACACUCUAGGUCUUUCGCGCCCUGGUCAUUUUACAGAACUGUGGCUGGAUGCCAGGCAUUCAGAGAUACAUUCCUCAAUCUCGGUCCGCCUUACAGGAUCCAGCAUCGAAGAGUUCAGUUCAAGUCAGCAGCCGAGUUACAGGAAAGCAGCCAGGGCAAUGAUUCAGCAAGUCCAGGCAGGAGUGAACCAGGCAAGAUUUCGGGAGGAGAGGGCUGGGUCGCGUGUCCUGGCAGGGCCACAGGAAGAGCAUACACAUCUCCUGCGUCUUCGUAUUUUGUGAGUGUCUUGAAAUGACCUUGAGAAUCUACGCAAUACCAUGAAGAAGCAGGAGCAGGAAUACCAUUUAUCCAUUGGCACAGGGUAGCAUGCUCAGUGUGCACUGAGGUUGUGAAUUCUUGUCCUGACCCAAAGAUGCUGAUGCUGUCCUUAUACCCAUUUCACGGUUGAAGAAACUGAAGGUGUAGUAGGAGAAGAUACUGACUCAGAGGCACAGAGUUAGAAAGCAGCAUGUCUGGGAUUUGACCCCAGACCUGUCUGACUCAGUUUACUAUUUUAAACUACCCGAUUCAAGUUAAGUUUCUCUCCUCUCUCUCUGUCUCUCUUUCUCCCACGUGGCUGCUGGAAUCUUCCCUAAGGACCAUAGCUGUCUGCAGUGCAGGAAGCCAACUAUUAAGGGGAAACAAAAGUGUUCUUAGGAGUCCUGCUGUCACUGUGGAUUGAGCCGGUGAAGCCCUGAGGGAUUUCAUCGCUGAGGUGGAUGGAGAAGCAGCUGGGGGCCUUGGCUGUAAGGACCCCUAAGGGCCUGAUCUUUUGGCCAGAAGGAGAUUAAAAAGAUGCCCCUCAAGAUGGCUGUGCCUGUCAGCUGCAUGGAGCUUCGUUCAAGUAUUUUCUGAGCCUGAUGGAUUUACAGUGAUCUUCAGUGGUCUGGGGAAUAACGCUGGUGGAACCAUGCACUGGAAUGACACACGCCCGGCACAUUUCAGGAUACUAAAAGUGGUUUUAAGGGAGGCUGUGGCUGAAUGCCUCAUGGAUUCUUACAGCUUGGAUGUCCAUGGGGGACGAAGGACUGCAGCUGGCUGAGAGGGUUGAGAUCUCUGUUUACUUAGAUCUCUGCCAACUUCCUUUGGGUCUCCCUAUGGAAUGUAAGACCCCGACUCUUCCUGGUGAAGCAUCUGAUGCACGUUCCAUCCGGCGCUCAGCUGGGCUUGAGGACUUCGCAGGUGAGCAGUAACGGAAAUCAGCCCCGUUUAUUCCUCCCAGCACCUGCCUUAUCCAACUCCCCACGCUGUGGCUGAGUCCCAGCCUGCUAUGGAAGCAUCACUGGACUCCCAUUGAACUCUGUGCAGAUUCGCUGUUCGUAGACAUGGUACCUGAUGGACACCAAGCUACGUACAGCUUCAAGGCCCCUUCUUUCUUUGCUAAUAAAAAAUAAAAAAUAAAAACAUAAUACACGU